UACAAGUCGAGCAGGGACGAAAGUCGGGCUUAGUGAUCCGGUGGUUCCGCAUGGAAGGGCCAUCGCUCAACGGAUAAAAGCUACCCCGGGGAUAACAGGCUUAUCUCCCCCAAGAGUCCACAUCGACGGGGAGGUUUGGCACCUCGAUGUCGGCUCAUCGCAUCCUGGGGCUGUAGUCGGUCCCAAGGGUUGGGCUGUUCGCCCAUUAAAGCGGUACGCGAGCUGGGUUCAGAACGUCGUGAGACAGUUCGGUCCCUAUCCGUCGUGGGCGUAGGAAAUUUGAGAGGAGCUGUCCUUAGUACGAGAGGACCGGGAUGGACGCACCGCUGGUGUACCAGUUGUUCUGCCAAGGGCAUAGCUGGGUAGCUAUGUGCGGAAGGGAUAAGUGCUGAAAGCAUCUAAGCAUGAAGCCCCCCUCAAGAUGAGAUUUCCCAUAGCGUAAGCUAGUAAGAUCCCUGAAAGAUGAUCAGGUUGAUAGGUUCGAGGUGGAAGCAUGGUGACAUGUGGAGCUGACGAAUACUAAUAGAUCGAGGACUUAACCAUAUAA
rnacentral:rRNA from 2 species